CUACUGUGCCAUGUAGGGGGGCAGACAAUGGAAUUAUUAUGGAUGGAUGAUGGAUGGAUGGAUGGAUGGAUGGAUGGAUGGAUAGAUGGAUGGAUGAUGGAUGGAUGGAUGAUGGAUGGAUGAUGGAUGGAUGGAUGGAUGGAUGGAUGAUGGAUGGAUGGAUGGAUGAUGGAUGGAUGGGGAUGGAUGGAUGAUGGAUGGAUGGAUGGAUGGAUGAUGGAUGAUGGAUGGAUGGAUGGAUGAUGGAUGGAUGAUGGAUGGAUGGAUGAUGGAUGGAUGGAUGGAUGAUGGAUGGAUGGAUGGAUGGAUGGAUGAUGGAUGGAUGGAUGGAUGAUGGAUGGAUGGAUGGAUGUCAAGUCUGAUGCUUUUCAACACUGUUGCUAAUCUUUAACUC
rnacentral:lncRNA from 1 species